UAUGUUUUGUGAUUGAGAAGGAGCCAAAAGUUAGUGGAGUAAAAAGAUAGCAAGAGUGGAGGAAUAUGAAGAAUAGGGAAUUAACUCAAAAAAAGAACUUAAAAAAAAAAACUCAAGAAAAGAAAGAAUAGGGAAUUAAAUAUGUUUUGUGAUUGAGAAGGAGCUAAAAGUUAGUGGAGGUAAAAAAAGGAGCAGCCGACACAUCCAUGAGGAUUCUUAAUUAGUUUUUUUUUUCCUCUCUGGCUAUUCAUUCUUGAAAAAGGAUGUAGAAGAAUCAAGACAUUCAGAUCUUUGAUCUCUCACAUCUCUCUUUUGAAAGGAAACCACAGCAAAAACGACCUGAGAAAACUCGCAGGUAAACUCAAAGCCAUCCACGCCGUUUGCGCCUGUCUCCACCUCCUUCUAGCUUGGUUUUCUCACUGCCUCCCCCAUCCACGUCGUCGUCGGUCACCCUCGUUCGUCGUUGCAUCGUGUGGAAGGACAUCAACCUCUCUCUGCUUCAUACAAGACACCAUAAUCGAGCCGGUAUCAGAUUGGUCGUCUAAAAUUGUCAUAGCCUAUGAGCCUGUUUGUGAAAUUGGAACACCUGCCCAUGCACAUACAAGAAGUUGGAACUUCUUGCUGCACGUUUAACUUUUUACGUCUGCACUAUAACUUGUUGAUUCCCAAUAAUUUGAUGUUAUUUUCCUUUUUCAAUGUUCUUCGACUUAAACCUGUAUCUUAUCGACUUAUCAUUUGAAUUGCCCCAAAAAGAUACAGAGUAUUAUAUUUUGGUUGUUCUCUUGAGAGAUAUUAUUCUUUUUAAAUUGAAACUUUGUUUAUUCUGCA